AUUGAACGCUGGCGGCAUGCUUUACACAUGCGAGUCGAACGGCAGCGCGGGCUUCGGCCUGGCGGCGAGUGGCGAACGGGUGAGUAAUACAUCGGAACGUGCCCAGUAGUGGGGGAUAGCUCGGCGAAAGCCGGAUUAAUACCGCAUACGACCUGAGGGUGAAAGCGGGGGAUCUUCGGACCUCGCGCUAUUGGAGCGGCCGAUGGCAGAUUAGCUAGUUGGUGGGGUAAAGGCCUACCAAGGCGACGAUCUGUAGCUGGUCUGAGAGGACGACCAGCCACACUGGGACUGAGACACGGCCCAGACUCCUACGGGAGGCAGCAGUGGGGAAUUUUGGACAAUGGGCGAAAGCCUGAUCCAGCAAUGCCGCGUGUGAGAUGAAGGCCUUCGGGUUGUAAAGCACUUUUGGCGGGAACGAAAAGGACUGUGCCAAUACCACGGUUCGAUGACGGUACCCGCAGAAUAAGCACCGGCUAACUACGUG
rnacentral:rRNA from 1 species